rnacentral:rRNA from 1 species
UACAGAGGGGGCAAGCGUUGUUCGGAAUUACUGGGCGUAAAGGGCUCGUAGGCGGCCAACUAAGCCAGACGUGAAAUCCCUCGGCUUAACCGGGGAACUGCGUCUGAUACUGGAUGGCUUGAAUCCGGGAGAGGGAUGCGGAAUUCCAGGUGUAGCGGUGAAAUGCGUAGAUAUCUGGAGGAACACCGGUGGCGAAGGCGGCAUCCUGGACCGGCAUUGACGCUGAGGAGCGAAAGCCAGGGGAGCAAACGGG